rnacentral:rRNA from 1 species
GACGAACGCUGGCGGCGUGCUUAACACAUGCAAGUCGAACGCGCCUGUCCUCUGGGUUUCUGGGGGGUGGGUGAGUGGCGAACGGGUGAGUAACACGUGAGUAACCUGCCCCCUUCUUCGGGAUAACGGUCUGAAAGGGCUGCUAAUAUCGGGUAUUCACUGGUCUCCGCAUGGGGUCUGGUGGAACGGUUUUUUUCUGGUGGGGGAUGGGCUCGCGGCCUUUCCGCUUGUUGGUGGGGUGAUGGCCCACCAGGGCUUUUACGGGUAGCCGGCCUGAGGGGGUGACCGGGAACAUGGGGACUGAGAUACGGCCCAGAGUCGUACGAGAGGCAGCAGUGGGGAAAAUUGCACAAUGGGCGCAAGCCUGAUGCAGCGACGCCGCGUGAGGGAUGGGGGCCUUCGGGUUGUUAACCUCUUUCGCCCGUGGUCAAGCCGCGACGUGGGUCGUGGUGAGGGUAGUGGGUAAAGAAGAGCCGGCUAACUACGUG